AUGCAAUUGUCAAAACGGCACUUUCAUUUUUGAACCAACGUUUGAAUAAAGAAAGUUGUCCAGUUUAAAGCAAAAGUUUUAGCUUUGAACGAUAGUACAGUUGCUAUAAAAACUUAGCUCGAGAUGCGUGUGCUGUUUUGCUUCAAAAUGCGAUUCGGUUCCUAUUCUCCUCGGGACAAUU
rnacentral:snoRNA from 1 species